rnacentral:rRNA from 1 species
GAUGAACGCUGGCGGCGUGCCUAAUACAUGCAAGUCGAGCGAACGGACGAGAAGCUUGCUUCUCUGAUGUUAGCGGCGGACGGGUGAGUAAAACGUGGAUAACCUACCUAUAAGACUGGGAUAACUUCGGGAAACCGUAGCUAAUACCGGAUAAUAUUUUGAACCGCAUGGUUCAAAAGUGAAAGACGGUCUUGCUGUCACUUAUAGAUGGAUCCGCGCUGCAUUAGCUAGUUGGUAAGGUAACGGCUUACCAAGGCAACGAUGCAUAGCCGACCUGAGAGGGUGAGCGGCCACACUGGAACUGAGACACGGGCCAGACUCCUACGGGAGGCAGCAGUAGGGAAUCUUCCGCAAUGGGCGAAGGCCUGACGGAGCAACGCCGCGUGAGUGAUGAAGGUCGUCGGAUCGUAAAACUCUGUUAGUAGGGAAGAACAUAUGUGUAAGUAACUGUGCACAUCUUGACGGUACCUAAUCAGAAAGCCACGGCUAACUACGUG